GAUGAACGCUGGCGGCGUGCCUAAUACAUGCAAGUCGAGCGAAUGGAUUGAGAGCUUGCUCUUAUGAAGUUAGCGGCGGACGGGUGAGUAACACGUGGGUAACCUGCCCAUAAGACUGGGAUAACUCCGGGAAACCGGGGCUAAUACCGGAUAACAUUUUGAACCGCAUGGUUCGAAAUUGAAAGGCGGCUUCGGUUGUCACUUAUGGAUGGACCCGCGUCGCAUUAGCUAGUUGGUGAGGUAACGGCUCACCAAGGCAACGAUGGGUAGCCGACCUGAGAGGGGGAUCGUGCACACUGGGACUGAGACACAGCCCAGACUCCUACGGGAGGCAGCAGUAGGGAAUCUUCCGCAAUGGACGAAAGUCUGACGGAGCAACGCCGCGUGAGUGAUGAAGGCUUUCGGGUCGUAAAACUCUGUUGUUAGGGAAGAACAAGUGCUAGUUGAAUAAGCUGGCACCUUGACGGUACCUAACCAGAAAGCCACGGCUAACUACGUGCCAGCCGCCGCAGUAA
rnacentral:rRNA from 1 species